rnacentral:rRNA from 1 species
GUGCCAGCAGCUGCGGUAAUACGGAGGGAGCUAGCGUUGUUCGGAAUUACUGGGCGUAAAGCGCACGUAGGCGGCUUUGUAAGUUAGAGGUGAAAGCCUGGAGCUCAACUCCAGAACUGCCUUUAAGACUGCAUCGCUUGAAUCCUGGAGAGGUGAGUGGAAUUCCGAGUGUAGAGGUGAAAUUCGUAGAUAUUCGGAAGAACACCAGUGGCGAAGGCGGCUCACUGGACAGGUAUUGACGCUGAGGUGCGAAAGCGUGGGAGCAAACAGGAUUAGAUACCCUGGUAGUCCACGCCGUAAACGAUGAUAACUAGCUGUCCGGCACUGGUGCUUGGGUGGCGCAGCUAACGCAUUAAGUUAUCCGCCUGGGAGUAC